rnacentral:rRNA from 1 species
GGUUAACGCUGGCGGCGUGCCUUAUACAUGCAAGUCGAGCGAGGGCUCAUCACCCGCAAGGGAGAUGGGUUCCUAGCGGCGAACGGGUGAGUAGCACGUGGGCAACCUGUCCUCUCGUGGGGGAUAACACCGAGAAAUCGGUGCUAAUACCGCAUGUCCUCGUCGGAGGCAUCUUCGACGAACACAGCAGCAAUGCGCGAGGGGGUGGGCCCGCGGCCUAUCAGCUUGUCGGUGGGGUAACGGCUCACCGAGGCUUUGACGGGUAGCUGGUCUGAGAGGACGACCAGCCACACGGGGACUGAGACACGGCCCCGACUCCUACGGGAGGCAGCAGUAGGGAAUCUUCCGCAAUGGACGAAAGUCUGACGGAGCAACGCCGCGUGAGUGAAGAAGGUUUUCGGAUCGUAAAACUCUGUUGUUAGGGAAGAACACGUAUGGGAGUAACUGCCCGUACCUUGACGGUACCUAACCAGAAAGCCACGGCUAACUACGUGCCAGCCGCCGCAGUAAUAC